rnacentral:rRNA from 1 species
UGGGGAAUAUUGCACAAUGGGCGCAAGCCUGAUGCAGCCAUGCCGCGUGUGUGAAGAAGGCCUUCGGGUUGUAAAGCACUUUCAGCGAGGAGGAAGGUGGUGAGCUUAAUACGCUCAUCAAUUGACGUUACUCGCAGAAGAAGCACCGGCUAACUCCGUGCCAGCAGCCGCGGUAAUACGGAGGGUGCAAGCGUUAAUCGGAAUUACUGGGCGUAAAGCGCACGCAGGCGGUUUGUUAAGUCAGAUGUGAAAUCCCCGGGCUCAACCUGGGAACUGCAUUUGAAACUGGCAAGCUAGAGUCUCGUAGAGGGGGGUAGAAUUCCAGGUGUAGCGGUGAAAUGCGUAGAGAUCUGGAGGAAUACCGGUGGCGAAGGCGGCCCCCUGGACGAAGACUGACGCUCAGGUGCGAAAAGCGUGGGGCAGCAAACAGGAUUAGAUACCCUGGUAGUCCACGCUGUAAAACGAUGUCGAUUUUGGAGGUUGUGCCCCUUGAGGCGUGGNUUCCGGAGCUAACGCGUUAAAUCGACCGCCUGGGGAGUACGGCCGCAAGGUUAAAACUUAAAUGAAUUG